UUUUUUAAUUGAAAACUUGUAUGAAUGGUUGAAUGAGAUAUAGGCUGUUUCAAAAGAAAAUUAAUAGAAUUUUAUUUUUUAGUCAAAAAGCUAAAAUUUUUUUAAAGGACGAGAAGACCCUAUAAAGUUUAAUAAUUUAAUUGUUAUAAUUUUUUUAAAAUAAUUUAAAUUUUAAUAAUAAUAUUAUUUUAUUGGGGAGAUAAUAAAAUUUAAAUAACUUUUAUUUUUAAAAACAUAGAUUAAUGAAUAUAUGAUCCUUUAUUAAUGAUUAAGAAUUUAAAUUACUUUAGGGAUAACAGCGUAAUUUUUUUUUUAAGUUCAUAUUUAUAAAAAAGUUUGC
rnacentral:rRNA from 1 species